rnacentral:rRNA from 1 species
AGAACGUCGUGAGACAGUUCGGUCCCUAUCUGUCGUGGGCGUCGGAUAUUUGAGAGGAGUUGACCUUAGUACGAGAGGACCGGGUCGAACGCACCUCCGGUGCAUCGGUUGUACUGCCAAGUGCAUAGCCGGGUAGCCGAGUGCGGAUGUGAUAAACGCUGAAAGCAUCUAAGCGUGAAGCACACCUCAAGAUGAGAUAUCCCUUGCAUAAGCAAUAAGGUCACAGGUAGACUACCUGUUUGAUAGGUCGCAGGUGGAAGCGCAGUAAUGCGUGCAGCUGAGCGAUACUAAUCGACCGAGUGCUUGAACUG